rnacentral:rRNA from 1 species
GUGGGGAAUAUUGCACAAUGGGGGAAACCCUGAUGCAGCGACGCCGCGUGAGUGAAGAAGUAUUUCGGUACGUAAAGCUCUAUCAGCAAGGAAGAAAAUGACGGUACUUGACUAAGAAGCCCCGGCUAACUACGUGCCAGCAGCCGCGGUAAUACGUAGGGGGCAAGCGUUAUCCGGAUUUACUGGGUGUAAAGGGAGCGUAGAUGGUAUGGUAAGUCAGAUGUGAAAGCCCGGGGCUCAACCCCGGGACUGCAUUUGAAACUAUCAGACUAGAGUGCAGGAGAGGUAAGUGGAAUUCCUAGUGUAGCGGUGAAAUGCGUAGAUAUUAGGAGGAACACCAGUGGCGAAGGCGGCUUACUGGACUGUAACUGACGUUGAGGCUCGAAAGCGUGGGGAGCAAACAGGAUUAGAAACCCCGGUAGUCC